rnacentral:ncRNA from 1 species
UAAUAAGACAUCCAUUCACGUAUAAUCGCUUUGAUACGGAAAGCAAGUCUCUACCCUGAACCGUAAAUUCAGGACUACGUGCAAU